AGUGAACGCUGGCGGUAGGCCUAACACAUGCAAGUCGAACGGCAGCACAGUAAGAGCUUGCUCUUACGGGUGGCGAGUGGCGGACGGGUGAGGAAUACAUCGGAAUCUACUUUUUCGUGGGGGAUAACGUAGGGAAACUUACGCUAAUACCGCAUACGACCUACGGGUGAAAGCAGGGGAUCUUCGGACCUUGCGCGAUUGAAUGAGCCGAUGUCGGAUUAGCUAGUUGGCGGGGUAAAGGCCCACCAAGGCGACGAUCCGUAGCUGGUCUGAGAGGAUGAUCUGCCACACUGGAACUGAGACACGGUCCUGACUCCUACGGGAGGCAGCAGUGGGGAAUAUUCGACACAGGGCGCAAGCCUGAUCCAGCCAUACCGCGUGGGUGAAGAAGGCCUUCGGGUUGUAAAGCCCUUCUGUUGUGACAGAAAAGCAGCAGGUUAAUACCCCGCUGUUCUGACGGUACCCAAAGAAUAAGCACCGGCUAACUUCGUG
rnacentral:rRNA from 1 species